UCCUGUGCUGUUUACCACUACUCCCCCCAGUGUGUGUGUGUGUGUGUGUGUGUGUGAAGAGGACCUCUGUGUUUGGCUGGAACCCUGUCUCUCUCUGGCCGGCCUGCCACGUCAAAUAACAGGCUGGAGCCCUGUGUCCUCAGGGAUCUGUGAGGACAAACAGCCUGUCUCUAGUCUCUGGACUGAAACAGGACUGAGGAGGACCUUACUGAGCUCAACUGAACUGAAGAGGCUAUUGAGGAGAUACCACCGAUCUGGAGGAAAAUGAUGGGAAACCCUGCAGUUUGAGUCCUGUGCUGUGGAAUCCCCUCAGUGUUUUUUUUAGUCUGUUUUAUUUUGAUGUACUGUGAACAGUUGGUUGGUUGUUUCGGAAUGGAGAGGAGUGGAUUUCUGUACAGGGGCAGGCACUAUGCUGGUGAUCGGCAGGCCCAGCCCAAGAGUGUAGGACACUUGACUGAUUUUUCGUGUGGUGAGACAGAGAAAGGCCCCCCUCCACCACUCCAGACCCACAGCCUCAGAGAGUUUGAACAGGUAAGGUCUUCCUCUCUCCUCUUCCUAUGGUCUGGUUCAGCAACGUUAGUUAGUCUGACACUGUCUGUGUGGUAAUCAGCGGAAAGAGGUGUUCAGGCCUGUCUGGGUUGUCUGUUAACAUGUCUUUUGGUGUGUUGGUGAUGAUUAUGUGGUAACUCAACCUCUGACUAUAUGAGUCAAAAAUAUUCCCGUCUCGUGUAGCUUCCCCCAAUCCCCUUAUCAUCCCUCUCCUCACCCCACCCUGUCUGCAUAUUGGCCACCUAGACCUGUACCCACACGCAAAAAGUCAC